GCCUGGUUAGCUCAGCUGGUUAGAGCGUCGUACUAAUAUCUUUCUUACCUUGUGAGAUAUCAAGUCAUGCGAAGGUCAACAGUUCAAUCCUGUUACUGGGCA